GACGAACGCUGGCGGCGUGCUUAACACAUGCAAGUCGAACGGACCUUCGGGUUAGUGGCGAACGGGUGAGUAACACGUGGGUGAUCUGCCCUGCACUUUGGGAUAAGCCUGGGAAACUGGGUCUAAUACCGAAUAGGACCACGCGCUUCAUGGUGUGUGGUGGAAAGCUUUUGCGGUGUGGGAUGGGCCCGCGGCCUAUCAGCUUGUUGGUGGGGUAAUGGCCUACCAAGGCGACGACGGGUAGCCGGCCUGAGAGGGUGACCGGCCACACUGGGACUGAGAUACGGCCCAGACUCCUACGGGAGGCAGCAGUGGGGAAUAUUGCACAAUGGGCGCAAGCCUGAUGCAGCGACGCCGCGUGAGGGAUGACGGCCUUCGGGUUGUAAACCUCUUUCGCCAGGGACGAUAAUGACGGUACCCGCAGAAUAAGCCCCGGCUAACUUCGUGCCAGCAGCCGCAGUAA
rnacentral:rRNA from 1 species